UACGUAGGGUGCAAGCGUUAAUCGGAAUUACUGGGCGUAAAGCGUGCGCAGGCGGUUGUGCAAGACAGAUGUGAAAUCCCCGGGCUCAACCUGGGAAUGGCAUUGGUGACUGUACGGCUAGAGUGUGUCAGAGGGGGGGUAGAAUUCCACGUGUAGCAGUGAAAUGCGUAGAGAUGUGGAGGAAUACCGAUGGCGAAGGCAGCCCCCUGGGAUAACACUGACGCCUCAUGCACGAAAGCGUGGGGAGCAAACAGG
rnacentral:rRNA from 1 species